rnacentral:rRNA from 1 species
UACGAAGGGGGCUAGCGUUGUUCGGAAUUACUGGGCGUAAAGCGCGCGUAGGCGGACCACCAAGUUGGAUGUGAAAUCCCGACGCUCAACGUCGGAACUGCAUUCAAAACUGUUGGUCUAGAGGCCAGGAGAGGUCAGUGGAAUACCGAGUGUAGAGGUGAAAUUCGUAGAUAUUCGGUGGAACACCAGUGGCGAAGGCGACUGACUGGACUGGUACUGACGCUGAGGUGCGAAAGUGUGGGGAGCAAACAGG